rnacentral:rRNA from 1 species
GAUGAACGCUAGCGGCAGGCCUAACACAUGCAAGUCGAGGGGUAGCAGGAUUAAGCUUGCUUACUUGCUGACGACCGGCGCACGGGUGCGUAACGCGUAUGUAACCUACCUUAUACUGGGGUAUAGCCCAGAGAAAUUCGGAUUAAUCCCCCAUAGUACUAAUGAAUCGCAUGGUUUCUUAGUUAAAGCAUUGCGGUAUAAGAUGGGCAUGCGUCCUAUUAGCUAGAGGGUGAGGUAACGGCUCACCAUGGCUACGAUAGGUAGGGGGCCUGAGAGGGUGGUCCCCCACACUGGUACUGAGACACGGACCAGACUCCUACGGGAGGCAGCAGUGAGGAAUAUUGGUCAAUGGGCGCAAGCCUGAACCAGCCAUGCCGCGUGCAGGAAGAAUGCCCUAUGGGUUGUAAACUGCUUUUAUUUGGGAAUAAACCUCUUUACGUGUAGAGAGCUGAAGGUACCAAAUGAAUAAGCACCGGCUAACUCCGUGCCAGCCGCCGCCGUAA